rnacentral:rRNA from 1 species
GAUGAACGCUGGCGGCGUGCCUAACACAUGCAAGUCGAGCGAAGCGACUGCUAUGAAGUUUUCGGAUGGAAUAGCGGUUGACUGAGCGGCGGACGGGUGAGUAACGCGUGGGUAACCUGCCUCAUACGAGGGGGAUAACAGUUAGAAAUGACUGCUAAUACCGCAUAAGCGCACAGCUUCGCAUGAAGCAGUGUAGAAAAACCUCCGGUGGUAUGAGAUCGGACCCGCGUCUGAUUAGUUAGUGGCGGGUAACGCCACCAAGACGACGAUCAGUAGCCGACCUGAGAGGGUGACCGGCACAUUGGGACUGAGAC